rnacentral:rRNA from 1 species
ACGGGGGCAUUGCCCAGUAACGGCGAGUGAAGCGGCAAAAGCUCAAUUUUGAAAUCCCCCCGGGGAGUUGUAAUUUGAAGACUAGGGGAUUUGGCCCAAACCUGCGCAAGUCCAUUGGAACAUGGCGCCCAAGAGGGUGAGAGCCCCGUCGCGCAGGCCGCAGCCUUGACAUCCCCCCGUCAAAGAGUCGAGUUGUUUGGGAAUGCAGCUCAAAGUGGGUGGUAAAUUCCAUCUAAAGCUAAAUAUUGGCGAGAGACCGAUAGCGAACAAGUACAGUGAUGGAAAGAUGAAAAGCACUUUGAAAAGAGAGUGAAACAGUACGUGAAAUUGUUGAAAGGGAAGGGCUUGCAAGCAGACACGAGUUCGCUCGGGCCAGCAUCAAUUUCGCGAGGUGGACAACACGCCAGGAAUGUGGCAGGCUCCGGCCUGUGUUAUAGCCUGCGCGCCAUACACCUCCGCGAGAUUGAGGCCUGCUCCAAAAGGAUGCUGGCGUAAUGGUUGCAAGUCGCCCGUCUUGAAAMACGRAMCMAAAAAAA